GACGAACGCUGGCGGCGUGCUUAACACAUGCAAGUCGAACGCUGAAGCUUGGUGCUUGCACUGGGUGGAUGAGUGGCGAACGGGUGAGUAAUACGUGAGUAACCUGCCCUUGACUCUGGGAUAAGCCUGGGAAACUGGGUCUAAUACUGGAUACGACAUGCCACUGCAUGGUGGUGUGUGGAAAGGGUUUUACUGGUUUUGGAUGGGCUCACGGCCUAUCAGCUUGUUGGUGGGGUAAUGGCCUACCGAGGCGACGACGGGUAGCCGGCCUGAGAGGGUGACCGGCCACACUGGGACUGAGACACGGCCCAGACUCCUACGGGAGGCAGCAGUGGGGAAUAUUGCACAAUGGGCGGAAGCCUGAUGCAGCGACGCCGCGUGAGGGAUGACGGCCUUCGGGUUGUAAACCUCUUUCAGCACGGAAGAAGCGAGAGUGACGGUACGUGCAGAAGAAGCGCCGGCUAACUACGUG
rnacentral:rRNA from 1 species